CCUGAUGCAGCCAUGCCGCGUGUAUGAAGAAGGCCUUCGGGUUGUAAAGUACUUUCAGUAGGGAGGAAGGUGCAUUGGCAGUUAAUAGCGGAUGGAUUUGACGUUACCUACAGAAGAAGCACCGGCUAACUCCGUGCCAGCAGCCGCGGUAAUACGGAGGGUGCGAGCGUUAAUCGGAAUUACUGGGCGUAAAGCGCAUGCAGGUGGUUCAUUAAGUCAGAUGUGAAAGCCCGGGGCUCAACCUCGGAACCGCAUUUGAAACUGGUGAACUAGAGUGCUGUAGAGGGGGGUAGAAUUUCAGGUGUAGCGGUGAAAUGCGUAGAGAUCUGAAGGAAUACCAGUGGCGAAGGCGGCCCCCUGGACAGACACUGACACUCAGAUGCGAAAGCGUGGGGAGCAAACAGGAUUAGAUACCCUGGUAGUCCACGCCGUAAACGAUGUCUACUUGGAGGUUGUUCCCUUGAGGAGUGGCUUUCGGAGCUAACGCGUUAAGUAGACCGCCUGGGGA
rnacentral:rRNA from 1 species